rnacentral:ncRNA from 1 species
AAGUGGAGUCCAGAAACCACUCUAAUAAACGGGGUGUAUCUGAAAAACCUUACGAGUAGGAAA